GGUGCCAUCGCCAAGUGGUAAGGCCGCAGCCUGCAAAGCUGCUAUUCCCCAGUUCAAAUCUGGGUGGCACCUCCA
rnacentral:tRNA from 1 species